GUCUUUAAAAGCUAUAAGAAAUGCUAGAACUCAUUCAUUCUCAACCCUCUUCUCCAUGAAGGAUUAAAUUCCAUGGAAGAAUCUUUGCAUCAUCAGUAACUAAGAUGAGAACAUUGACAGGCUGCUGAUAGUAUUCCCAGAUGACAUCACCGACACACUAGAUGAUGAAGCAGAAUCCAGUAAUUCAGUUUAACAACUAUUUACUGGUCACCAAGGAGGAGUCAGGCUGGAGUGAUUUGAUCCAGGCCUAGCAGCAUAGAUGGUGAAGAUUUCAUCCCAAAGUAAAUGUCAGUCACAAGUGGGCAUCAAGGAUAGAGUAGGCUCUGACAAGUGGAACUGCUGCAAAGUUCAUUAAUAAUGUGGAAUAAAUCAAUUGUUCAGGAAAUACUGAAAACAGAUGACACUGAACUCGUACAUUUUGCAAGUUCAGCACAAAUCCAUCUCCAGCAAGGACACAGAAUCUCCCCAUGUCCUUUUCUGACCUACCCAUGGAACCUGGUCUCCAAUCCUCCUUUCUUCAAGCAUUCCAUGGCUGUACAGCUACCCAAACCCCUGGGAGCACAGGGGGCCAAUGGUCACUCAAAAGGAAAUAGCCUCAGGCCAGAGAAGAAAGAACACGGAGGCUUUUCCAAGAUUUACAAACAUGAAGGUCAGCUACUUCCAGGAUGUGAAGAGUUCCUUACUAUAGGUGUUGGACACUGGCUACAGCAGCUUCAGAAGAUGUCAAGAGGGAUCCCUGGGUGGCGUAGCGGUUUGGCGCCUGCCUUUGGCCCAGGGCGCAAUCCUGGAGACCUGGGAUUGAAUCCCACGUCGGGCUCCCGGUGCAUGGAGCCUGCUUCUCCCUCUGCCUCUGUCUCUGCCUCUCUCUCUCUCUCUGUCUCUCUCUGUGAUUUUCAUAAAUAAAUAAUAAUUUUAAAAAAUUUUAAAAAUUGUA
rnacentral:lncRNA from 1 species